rnacentral:rRNA from 1 species
UACGUAGGGUGCAGGCGUUAAUCGGAAUUACUGGGCGUAAAGCGUGCGCAGGCGGUCUAUUAAGACAGGUGUGAAAUCCCCCGGGCUUAACCUGGGAACUGCGCUUGUAACUGAUAGGCUUGAGUGUGGCAGAGGGGGGUGGAAUUCCACGUGUAGCAGUGAAAUGCGUAGAGAUGUGGAGGAACACCGAUGGCGAAGGCAGCCCCCUGGGCUAACACUGACGCCUCAUGCACGAAAGCGUGGGGAGCAAACAGG